rnacentral:tRNA from 1 species
GCGAUCUUAAGUUAAUUAAAGUGCCUGAGUUGCAAUCAGGUGAUGCAGAUUAGAGUUGUGCGGGUCUUC